UACAGAGGUCUCAAGCGUUGUUCGGAUUCAUUGGGCGUAAAGGGUGCGUAGGUGGCGUCGUAAGUUAGAGGUGAAAGCCCGGGGCUCAACCCCGGAAUUGCCUUUAAGACUGCAUCGCUAGAAUUGUGGAGAGGUAAGUGGAAUUCCGAGUGUAGAGGUGAAAUUCGUAGAUAUUCGGAAGAACACCAGUGGCGAAGGCGACUUACUGGACACAUAUUGACGCUGAGGUGCGAAAGCGUGGGGAGCAAACAGG
rnacentral:rRNA from 1 species